UGAAACCGCGAAUGGCUCAUUAAAUCAGCUGUGGUUUAUUGGACCUUACCCACCUACCUGGAUAACUGUGGUAAUUCUAGAGCUAAUACAUGCACCCAAGCUCCGACCGAAAGGGAAGAGCGCUUUUAUUAGACCAAAACCAAUCGGGCCUCGGUCCGUUUAACUUGGUGACUCUGAAUAACUUUGAGCUGAGCGCACGGCCCUGGCGCCGGCGCCGUAUCUUUCAAGUGUCUGCCUUAUCAGCUUUCGAUUGUAGGCUAUGCGCCUACAAUGGCUAUAACGGGUAACGGGGAAUCAGGGUUCGAUUCC
rnacentral:rRNA from 1 species